UUUCCGUUGGUGAACCAGCGGAGGGACCAUUACCGAGUUUACAACUCCCAAACCCCAUGUGAACCUUACCAAACGUUGCUUCGGCGGGAUGCCCCGGGCGCGGGCCGCAAGGCCUCAGCCCCGGAACCAGGCGCCCGCCGGAGGCCCAAACCAAACUCUUGUUUUUGUAGAAUCUUCUGAGUGGCCUUUUAGGCAAAAAAUGAAUCAAAACUUUCAACAACGGAUCUCUUGGUUCUG
rnacentral:misc_RNA from 1 species